AGUCGAGCGAACCUUCGGGGUGAGCGGCGGACGGGUGAGUAACGCGUGGGUAACCUGCCCUGUACACACGGAUAACAUACCGAAAGGUAUGCUAAUACGGGAUAACAUAUGAGAGUCGCAUGGCUUUUGUAUCAAAGCUCCGGCGGUACAGGAUGGACCCGCGUCUGAUUAGCUAGUUGGUAAGGUAACGGCUUACCAAGGCAACGAUCAGUAGCCGACCUGAGAGGGUGAUCGGCCACAUUGGAACUGAGACACGGUCCAAACUCCUACGGGAGGCAGCAGUGGGGAAUAUUGCACAAUGGGCGAAAGCCUGAUGCAGCAACGCCGCGUGAGCGAUGAAGGCCUUCGGGUCGUAAAGCUCUGUCCUCAAGGAAGAUAAUGACGGUACUUGAGGAGGAAGCCCCGGCUAACUACGUGCCAGCAGCCGCGGUAAUACGUAGGGGGCUAGCGUUAUCCGGAAUUACUGGGCGUAAAGGGUGCGUAGGCGGUCUUUCAAGCCAGAAGUGAAAGGCUACGGCUCAACCGUAGUAAGCUUUUGGAACUGUAGGACUUGAGUGCAGGAGAGGAGAGUGGAAUUCCUAGUGUAGCGGUGAAAUGCGUAGAUAUUAGGAGGAACACCAGUAGCGAAGGCGGCUCUCUGGACUGUAACUGACGCUGAGGCACGAAAGCGUGGGGAGCAAACAGGAUUAGAUACCCUGGUAGUCCACGCCGUAAACGAUGAGUACUAGGUGUCGGGGGUUACCCCCCUCGGUGCCGCAGCUAACGCAUUAAGUACUCCGCCUGGGAAGUA
rnacentral:rRNA from 1 species